rnacentral:tmRNA from 1 species
GGGGCUGACCGGAAUUGACAGUAAGCUAAUUGAUAUGCUUGCAUGCCGAGAUUUGGGAGCAAUCUUGUAAAUAAACUCUCAUUGCUUUAAUUGGCAACACCAACUAUGCGAUGGCUGCAUAACUCUAGGAGUUAGCAACAUCUGCUUCAUGGGUCAGUUUUCUUAACACUGGCUCUAUUGAAGUAUCGGUAAGUUAAGAUAGUGAUCUGUGACAUCUCUAAGCAGGCAUGAAAUACCAGAGAAUAAGCCUUGAGUAGGGCGAUUGCACCCGGCUCCUGGUCGAAAAUUAAUUGCGAUCAAAGCAUGUAGACGGUAUCUCGAUACCUUAUCUGGACGAGGGUUCGACUCCCUCCAGCUCCACCC